CCUACGGGUGGCAGCAGUGGGGAGUAUUGCACAAUGGGCGCAAGCCUGAUGCAGCCAUGCCGCGUGUGUGAAGAAGGCCUUCGGGUUGUAAAGCACUUUCAGCGGGGAGGAAGGCGGUGAGGUUAAUAACCUCAUCGAUUGACGUUACCCGCAGAAGAAGCACCGGCUAACUCCGUGCCAGCAGCCGCGGUAAUACGGAGGGUGCAAGCGUUAAUCGGAAUUACUGGGCGUAAAGCGCACGCAGGCGGUCUGUCAAGUCGGAUGUGAAAUCCCCGGGCUCAACCUGGGAACUGCAUUCGAAACUGGCAGGCUAGAGUCCUGUAGAGGGGGGUAGAAUUCCAGGUGUAGCGGUGAAAUGCGUAGAGAUCUGGAGGAAUACCGGUGGCGAAGGCGGCCCCCUGGACAAAGACUGACGCUCAGGUGCGAAAGCGUGGGGAGCAAACAGGAUUAGAUACCCGAGUAGUC
rnacentral:rRNA from 1 species